AGCAGCCGCGGUAAUUCCAGCUCCAAUAGCGUAUAUUAAAGUUGUUGCAGUUAAAAAGCUCGUAGUUGAAUUUUAGGCUUGGCCGGACGGUCCGUCUUUGGCGAGAACUGUUCUGUUGUCGGGUCUUCCUUCUGGUGAACCAGUAUGCUCUUAAUUGGGUGUGUUGGGGAGCCAGGACCAUUACCUUGAAAAAAUUAGAGUGUUUAAAGCGGGCUAUUGCUUGAAUAGAUUAGCAUGGAAUAAUAGAAUAGGACGUUGUGGUUCUAUUUUGUUGGUUUCUAGGACCACCGUAAUGAUUAAUAGGGAUAGUUGGGGGCAUUAGUAUUCAAUUGUCAGAGGUGAAAUUCUUGGAUUUAUUGAAGACUAACUAUUGCGAAAGCAUUUGCCAAGGAUGUUUUCAUUAAUCAAGAACGAAAGUUAGGGGAUCGAAGACGAUCAGAUACCGUCGUAGUCUUAACCAUAAACUAUGCCGACUAGGAAUCGGGCGUCGUUAUUUUCAUGACUCGCUCGGCGCCUUAUG
rnacentral:rRNA from 1 species